AGUUGGAGGAGAGUCCUGGACCACGGA
rnacentral:piRNA from 1 species